GGGGGCCGCUGGACAGGAUCAUCAUCACUGCCGGCGAGGACGCCACCAUUGGCAUCUGACACUCGGAGUUGUACAGGAAUCUUUGUAGAUGCUUGAGAACUUUAUACCCAUGGCAAAGGAAAUAUCCUUAGAUUGCAAUCAUAAA